GUAUAUGUAGUUUAUUGAAAACAAGUUCUUGAAAAGGAUUAAAAGGUUAAUACCCAAAUACA
rnacentral:tRNA from 1 species